rnacentral:rRNA from 1 species
AUUGAACGCUGGCGGCAGGCCUAACACAUGCAAGUCGAGCGAGCGGCGGACGGGUGAGUAAUGUCUGGGAAACUGCCUGAUGGAGGGGGAUAACUACUGGAAACGGUAGCUAAUACCGCAUACCAUCAGAUGUGCCCAGAUGGGAUUAGCUAUUAGGUGGGGUAACGGCUCACCUAGGCGACGGUCCCUAGCUGGUCUGAGAGGAUGACCAGCCACACGGGAACUGAGACACGGUCCAGACUCCUACGGGAGGCAGCAGUGGGGAAUAGUGGACAAUGGGCGAAAGCCUGAUGCAGCCAUGCCGCGUGUGGGAAGAAGGCUGUCGGGUUGUAAAGUACUUUCAGCGGGGAGGCGUUACCCGCAGAAGAAGCACCGGCUAACUCCGUGCCAGCAGCCGCGGUAAUUC